rnacentral:lncRNA from 1 species
CCAUCCACCAUCCUUCCCACCACCUCUCCCACCGUCCUCCCACCUGCACCUCCGGCCAUCCCAGCCCUCUCGCAGCCCCGGUCCCUCUUCCUGAGCUGGAGCCCCAGUCCUUCUCCUUCUUCUUGCAGGGGCAGGUGGCCUGGCUCCUGGCGUGGGUGGCCUGGCUCCUGGCAUAGGUGGCCUGGCUCCUGGUGUGGGUGGCUUGGUUCCUGGUGUGGGUGGCCUGGCCCCCGGCAUUGGAGGUGUCCCAGGAGUCGGAGGUCCGGCAGCAGCAGCAAAAGCAGCAGCCAAGGCAGCCAAGUACGGUGCCGGUGUCGGAGGGGUGCCAGGCGCGGUGCCCGGUGGUCCCGGUGUGCCAGGAGUGACACCCGGCGUUGGCGGCGUCCCUGGGUUGGUGCCGAGCGUGGGGGUACCCGGUGCCGGCGUUCUCCCCGGGGCAGGCAUCCCCCAAGUAGGGGUGCAGCCAGGUGCUAAGCCUCCCAAGUUCGGAGUUCCCGGAGCUGGAGUCCCAGGGGUUGGUGGCAUCCCAGGGCUCUUGUUUCCAGGAGCUGCUGGAAAACCUCCCAAGCCAGGUUUUGGUGUUGGGGGGCUGCCAGGUGAGUGCCGGGGCCGGGGGCCAGGGUGGGACCCUGUCACCGACCGCACUGCCCCGCUUGUUGUCCCCACCCCGCCGGGCACGCCACAGGCUCGCGGGGUGCUCUGUAGCGGGGUGGGCACCCAGGGGUGCUGCUGGGCUCGGGGGCUCUUGGGGCAGCUCACGCCCAGCUUGCUGCAGGCUUGGGGACACUGCGGCCACGCAGGGCUGGGGUGGCAGCGCUGUCACCGGCUGUCACUUUUUCCCCAGGGCCUGGAGUUCCCGGCUUUGGCGUGUCACCGAUAUUUCCAGGUACCUUCCCCUGCGUGCCCUGCCCGGGGGGACACACGCAGCCGCAGGGCACAAGGACACGGCCACGGGGAGUGGGGCUGGGCUGGGCUGGGGGGCACGGGGCCGAGCAUCACUGAGGCUUUGCUGUGCUUUCAGGUGGGGUCGGCGGCCAGCUGGGAUUUGGCGGUGAGUGCGCCCCAGCCAGGCGGGUUGGGGACAGUGGGCGGGGGGUCACCUCCCCAGGGGGCACCCGUGGAGCCCCCCACCCCGCUCACCCUCUCCGUCUUGUCCCCGCAGGGAAGCCCCCCAAGACCUUCGGAGGAGCCCUCGGGGCCCUGGGCUUUAGAGGUGAGCGCCGCCGGGUCCCCCGCCACCCCUGCCCGGCUUCCAAGCCCCCUGCCGGGGCCCGGGGGGGCUGACCCGGUGUCCCCCCCCCCAACCCAGGUGGAGUCGGCUGCGCACAAGGGAAAUACUGCGGGAGGAAGCGGAAGUAACCGCCCGCCCCACCGAUAACCUCAUGAACUUUGGUGCUACUGCAUGGUCCAGAAUGUAAAUCCCCAGCCCAGCUGAGACCCCCCUGGCCCCCCGGCCCCACGCUCCCGGGAGGGACCCCACGGUGCGGCAGCAGCGCCGGGGCCUGCCCCCACCCCGGGAAUUCUCCCCCCCGACCCCCCCAGGGAGCGCGGAAUAAACUGCGGGGAGCAGCUGUCCCCCUUGGUGCU